UAAUUACAAACAUCUGACCGAGGACCACAGUUUAGGGCACAUUACUUACACAACUUUCUGCAACUUUCUGCAAUAAUCAACAUUUGACUCUUUCAUCAUUCUCUACCAUCCCUCAAGUAUCUCACUUUCACCUGGACUCUAACACUAUCCCUCAAGUUGUUGUAGCCAGGCACCACUCCAUCAGCAUGCCCCUGCCUCAGCUCCUGCAGCUCCGGCCCCAGCUCCUCCAACUCCACCACAAGCAAGAUGGUGAUUGUCACAGAGGAAAUGGUGGACGGCAAGGUGUAGGCAACGGGUUAACACCAUUGAAAUAUAAUUAGUAGAAUGGGUAUAGGAAAUGAGAGGCCAGCACAUGGAAUAUUGCUGCUCCCCAUUGCUUUAUUCAUGCAACCUAAAAUACGUUUCAACUUAUACAAAGGGAAUAUUCACCUGAAACGACGAUCUUCAUUAUCUUUGUUAUUUGUUAAGGGCAGCUCUGUUUAACUCUAGUAUGGGGUGUCCAUACCAUCCUCCUAUUCUUUCUGGAAUGGCUCAAGCCCCUCAGACACCCAUCAUGGAACAUUGACUUCAAUGGGUUUUCUUUUCUGGUAAUUCUAUUUCUAUGCUUAACACCUCCAGAAAAACAUAUUCCACUACAUCUGGAUGGAACACCAACAGACCCCAUUGUGAAUACAAUAAAGAUGCUCUGACUUACUGACACCAUCA